rnacentral:rRNA from 1 species
CCUACGGGAGGCAGCAGUGGGGAAUAUUGCACAAUGGGGGAAACCCUGAUGCAGCGACGCCGCGUGAGCGAUGAAGUAUUUCGGUAUGUAAAGCUCUAUCAGCAGGGAAGAAGAUGACGGUACCUGACUAAGAAUCCCCGUCUAACUACGUGCCAGCAGCCGCGGGAAUACGUAGGGGGCAAGCGUUAUCCGGAUUUACUGGGUGUAAUGGGAGCGUAGACGGCGAUGCAAGCCAGAUGUGAAAGCCCGGGGCUCAACCCCGGGACUGCAUUUGAAACUGUGUGGCUGGAGUGUCGGAGAGGCAGGCGGAAUGCCUAGUGUAGCGGUGAAAUGCGUAGAUAUUAGGAGGAACACCAGUGGCGAAGGCGGCCUGCUGGACGAUGACUGACGUUGAGGCUCGAAAGCGUGGGGAGCAAACAGGAUUAGAUACCCCUGUAGUC